UAGCUUAUUGAAUUUUUUAUAAGUAUUUUCUGCCCGGUGAUUUUUAUUUAACGGCCGCGGUAUUCUGACCGUGCAAAGGUAGCAUAAUCAUUUGUUCUUUAAUUGGGGACUUGAAUGAAUGAAGUGACGAAGAAACUCUUGUCUCUUUUUAGUCUCUUGAAUUUUCUUUUUAAGUGAAGAAGCUUAAAUAAAUUAAAAAGACGAGAAGACCCUAUUGAGUUUUAUUUUUAUUUUAUAAUUUUUUAUUAAAAAAAAAUUUGAUUGGGGCAAUCGAGGAGGCUAAUAAUUCUCUUUUUUUUUAUUUUGUUCCACUAUUAGUGAUCAAAAGAAUAAAUUACCAUAGGGAUAACAGCGUAAUUUUUUUGGAGAGUCCUUAUUGAUAAAAAAGAUUGCGACCUCGAUGUUGGAUUAAUAUUUCCUAAUGGUGUAGUAGCUGUUUUGGUGGGUCUGUUCGACCCUUAAAAUUUU
rnacentral:rRNA from 1 species